rnacentral:rRNA from 1 species
UACGGAGGGUGCAAGCGUUAAUCGGAAUUACUGGGCGUAAAGCGUGCGCAGGCGGUUUGUUAAGUCCGUUGUGAAAUCCCCGAGCUCAACUUGGGAAUUGCAAUGGAUACUGGCGAGCUUGAGUACUGAAGAGGAUCGCGGAAUUCCCGGUGUAGAGGUGAAAUUCGUAGAUAUCGGGAGGAACACCAGUGGCGAAGGCGGCGAUCUGGGCAGAUACUGACGCUGAGGUGCGAAAGCGUGGGGAGCAAACAGG